rnacentral:rRNA from 1 species
CAGUCGCCGCGGUAAUACGUAGGUCCCGAGCGUUGUCCGGAUUUAUUGGGCGUAAGGCGAGCGCAGGCGGUUAGAUAAGUCUGAAGUUAAAGGCUGUGGCUUAACCAUAGUACGCUUUGGAAACUGUUUAACUUGAGUGCAAGAGGGGAGAGUGGAAUUCCAUGUGUAGCGGUGAAAUGCGUAGAUAUAUGGAGGAACACCGGUGGCGAAAGCGGCUCUCUGGCUUGUAACUGACGCUGAGGCUCGAAAGCGUGGGGAGCAAACAGGAUUAGAUACCCCGGUAGUCCCUGUCUCUUAUACC